GACGAACGCUGGCGGCGUGCUUAACACAUGCAAGUCGAACGGAAAGGCCCUGCUUGCAGGGUGCUCGAGUGGCGAACGGGUGAGUAACACGUGGGUGAUCUGCCCCUUACUUUGGGAUAAGCCUGGGAAACUGGGUCUAAUACUGGAUAGGACCAUGCUGUAGGUGGUGUGGUGGAAAGAUUAGUUUCGGUAAGGGAUGAGCUCGCGGCCUAUCAGCUUGUUGGUGGGGUAAUGGCCUACCAAGGCGUCGACGGGUAGCCGGCCUGAGAGGGUGGACGGCCACAUUGGGACUGAGAUACGGCCCAGACUCCUACGGGAGGCAGCAGUGGGGAAUAUUGCAAAAUGGGCGCAAGCCGGAUGCAGCGACGCCGCGUGGGGGAUGACGGCCUUCGGGUUGUAAACUCCGUUCAGCCAUGACGAAGCCCUUGUGGUGACGGUAGUGGUAGAAGAAGCACCGGCUAACUACGUG
rnacentral:rRNA from 1 species